GACGUAGGGGACGAGCGUUGUCCGGAUGCAUUGGGCGUAAAGAGCGUGUAGGCGGCCAGAUAAGUCCGCUGUGAAAUCUCGAGGCUCAACUUCGAGCUGUCGGUGGAAACUGUCUGGCUAGAGUCCGGAAGAGGAGAAUGGAAUUCCUGGUGUAGCGGUGAAAUGCGCAGAUAUCAGGAAGAACACCCGUGGCGAAGGCGGUUCUCUGGGACAGUACUGACGCUGAGACGCGAAAGCGUGGGGAGCGAACAGG
rnacentral:rRNA from 1 species